AAACCAGCACCUCAAGUGGUCAGGAUGAUUAUUGGGCCUAAAGCAUCCGUAGCCGGCUCAGUAAGUUUUCGGUUAAAUCUGUACGCUCAACGUACAGGCUGCCGGGAAUACUGCAGAGCUAGGGAGUGGGAGAGGUAGACGGUACUCGGGAGGAAGUGGUAAAAUGCUUUGAUCUUUCGAUGACCACCUGUGGCGAAGGCGGUCUACCAGAACACGUCCGACGGUGAGGGAUGAAAGCUGGGGGAGCAAACCGGAUUAGAAACCCGGGUAGUCC
rnacentral:rRNA from 1 species